GGUGGCUCAGUGGUAGAGUGCUUGCCUUGCAUGCAUGAGGCCCUGGGUUCAUUCCUCAGCACCA
rfam:Dipodomys ordii contig_65351, whole genome shotgun sequence.